GAGUGUCUCAAGUCUGCAGCUCAUAUACUAAAAUUGGAACGAUACAGAGAAGAUUAGCAUGGCCCCUGCACAAGGAUGACAUGCAAAUUCGUGAAGCGUUCCUAGCCUAG
ensembl:snRNA U6 U6 spliceosomal RNA